UACAGAGGUCCCGAGCGUUAUUCGGAUUCAUUGGGCGUAAAGGGUGCGUAGGCGGCGGGGCAAGUCUGAUGUGAAAUCCUGGGGCCUCAACCCCCAGAACUGCAUUGGAUACUGCCUUGCUAGAGUACUGGAGAGGGAACUGGAAUUUACGGUGUAGCAGUGAAAUGCGUAGAGAUCGUAAGGAAGGCCAGUGGCGAAGGCGAGUUCCUGGACAGUUACUGACGCUGAGGCACGAAGGCCAGGGAGCAAACGGG
rnacentral:rRNA from 1 species